rnacentral:tRNA from 1 species
GCCCCGUUGGAUAGCUCAGUCGGUAGAGCAGGGGAUUGAAAAUCCCGUGUCCUUGGUUCGAUUCCGAGUCCGGGCACCA